rnacentral:lncRNA from 1 species
GAGAAUAAUAAUAUUCUUCCAUAAACAUUAUUUUAUUAUUGUGCUCAUCUUCCUUGACUAGAAAGAGAGAUCAUUUCAAAACAUGCAAGAACAGAGAACUAACAGAGAAGUCAGAAAUGAACCAUCCAUUUUCUUUUCCUUUUUCCCUCACUCUCAUAUAACCACCCCCCCACAUCACACAUAAUCUUUUAUACGUAUAUUGGGCCUCCUCAGCCUUGCACUUUUUCUGUUAUGCACAAUUGUAUCA